AGUGAACGCUGGCGGUAGGCCUAACACAUGCAAGUCGAACGGCAGCACAGUAAGAGCUUGCUCUUACGGGUGGCGAGUGGCGGACGGGUGAGGAAUACAUCGGAAUCUACUUUUUCGUGGGGGAUAACGUAGGGAAACUUACGCUAAUACCGCAUACGACCUACGGGUGAAAGCAGGGGAUCUUCGGACCUUGCGCGAUUGAAUGAGCCGAUGUCGGAUUAGCUAGUUGGCGGGGUAAAGGCCCACCAAGGCGACGAUCCGUAGCUGGUCUGAGAGGAUGAUCAGCCACACUGGAACUGAGACACGGUCAAGACUCCUACGGGAGGGAGCAGUGGGGAAUAUUGGACAAUGGGCGCAAGCCUGAUCCAGCCAUACCGCGUGGGUGAAGAAGGCCUUCGGGUUGUAAAGCCCUUUUGUUGGGAAAGAAAAGCAGCAGGUUAAUACCCAGCUGUUCUGACGGUACCCAAAGAAUAAGCACCGGCUAACUUCGUG
rnacentral:rRNA from 1 species